rnacentral:rRNA from 1 species
AGGUCAAGUGAUGCGCCAACUUUCUUUGAACAAUGGUAAGCAGAAAAGGAUGGGAUAAAUUCCUAAAAAAAAAUUGUCGCGAAACGAGUUGGCGAACGAAUAAAUGUGCAAGACCUAAGCCGCCAGCUUCCAACGGAAGGAACAAGUUAUCGCGCGUUCAUCCGUUCCCCAAGAUGAGCUCCAAAUAAGGUCGCUAGAUUCUGUGGAAGGCUUGUACCUUUGAACGGCCACAAUGUAAUACUUGUAAGACAUACAUUAGUUUCGAUAUUAAAAACAUGUUGCACACUGCUGCUUUUCCAAAGAUUGAAAGGUCUCGUGCCCCCAUGCUAAUGAUUUUUGCUUAAUCUCAGUUACAACGCAAUUCCAAUAUAGAUUAUUGGGUCUUGUUUGAUCUAGAGGAAGGGACAGCAGUUCCACGACAGCCCAGCCAAUUGGCCUGGCAUGGUUGCCCACGCGCCUAUCCAGAAGCCAUGAGAUUUUUCGGUGUUCAACCUCGCUCCCGUUAGGUCACAAUACUUCUCUGUUAUAUGAAGGCCUUUUUCUACACUCUUCUUAUUCGAACAGAACAGUGCCACGUCAUCAGCAUAUGCCAGUAACUUUACCUCUGUGAAGCAAAUAGUAUAACCUCGGAUAUUUUCAUUGGUAAUAAUGCUAAGGCAGAGAGGUUCAAGGUAUAAAGCAAAAAGAAGCGGUGAUAGUGGGCAACCUUGCCUUACUGAACAUUUGAUAAGAAUGGAUUCAGAAAGGGAAUUGUUUACAACUAGCCUUGUGCUGCUGUCUUUGUAACAGAGCUGAAUGCCCUCGAAUAGCAUGGUUCCUAUGUUUGCAUGACAAAGUAUUUUGAAUAAGAAAGAAUGGCUUACUCUAUCGAAUGCCUUCGACAAAUCAAGCUGAACUAUAGCUACUUGAUCUUGCUCAUCGGAUACAGAGUCAAUCACAGAUCUUGCUACGUGUACGCUCGUUUGAAUGUUUUGCUCUCGUAUACCACAAUUUGGUGUUCUCCGAUUAGAUUAUGUAUUAUGAGGUGUAAGCGUUCGUUUAAAACUUGGGCGAAUAUUUUUAUAGUCGACAUUACAAAGUGAUAUAGGUCGAUAAGCUUGAACCUUUUCUAAAGUUAUUGUGUCUUCUGUUUUAGGAAUUAGUACAGUAUGACCGUAAUAAAACGUUGGCGGUAGUGUUUGGUAUUCGUAAGCGGCUUUUAGGACAUCAAGUAGUAAGGGACUCAACAGAUCAGAAAAUUUCUUGUAGAAUUCAGCACUUAGGCCAUCAGGUCCAGGUGUCUUAUUUGAAGGAAGUGCUUCUAUGACAUUUUGAAUUUCCUGUAAGGUCAGAGGACCCUCGACUAUUUCUUUUUCCUCGUCUGAUAAGGAAGGCAAGAGGUUUACAAGGUGUUCUAUAUCUGAAUUUUCUUCAAUUGGAAUGCCUUUCCCCAAAAGAUUAGUGUAAUAAUCCACGAAGGCCUCUGAAAUGUUUGGUGUAUCUAUUCUCGUACUGCCUUUAUGUUCGUAUCCCUCAAGAGCAACGCAUAUUGUUGAAUUUUGCAAGAAUCUAAUUUAGGGAAGGUCAGUAGUCGAGAACAAAACUACUUACCUCGCCUAUCUAAACUUCCCAUAUUUCUCGCAUCAUAUAGACGCCAUAGUGGAAGUAUGAAAUACCUUUUCUUUCUUCACUUCUUGAUUGUUUCGUGCAAUGGAUUCUCGUUCCUUUUCUUCUUCGUCCUGCCUGGAUUGUUCAGCAAAAAAGAACUUUUUCACAUGAAGCUCACACGUAUAUGCCCGGCUCGUUCAUGUUGUAAGUUGACAGAUCACAACAAAGCACCUCAAAGAUAUUCACGUCACGAGCGUUAAAAGAUUAUAACUCUUCACCUCAAAGUAACUAAAUAUAAUACGACAGGAGUUACUCUUGAUACCUUUCUCAAAGCAUGUAUAGAUAAAGGUACUUCGUAGGCUUCGUAGUUUAUGAGAUAUUUCGGUAUUGUAAAAAAGAAUUAAAGUAAUGUAAAAAUUUUAUAAUAGUUUAUUAUCUUUAUAGAUUUAAAAGGUGAAAAUAACAAAAGUUAGCUAAAAGUUUUCAUUUUGAAAUGUCGACGCAGAACGUAACAGCACGCUGUAUGGUACCGUUAUUUUCUGCGUCGACAUUUUCGCGCCUAAAAGUGCCGUAUGGUGUCGUUAAUAGUUAGUCAUUUUUGACGUCAUCUUUUUGUUUUUCGGACUGUCGAAUAUCCAUGUAUCCGCACAUUUUGGACUGCUGCGAACAUGGCUGCCAUGUGCUUACCGCUGACGCCCUCGGUAUGUUAGCGAGAUGUUGAGCCCGUGACACUCUUGUGGUAGCCAAAUGCCUCGUCAUCUAUUAGUGACGCGCAUGAAUGGAUUAACAAGAUUCCCACUGUCCCUAUCUACUAUCUAGCAAAACCACAGCCAAGGGAACGGGCUUGGAAAAAUCAGCGGGGGAAAGAAGACCCUGUUGAGCUUGACUCUAGUCUGACUCUGUGAAGAGACAU